UACAGGGGGGGCAAGCGUUGUUCGGAAUCACUGGGCGUAAAGCGCACGUAGGCGGAUUUUUAAGUCAGGGGUGAAAUCCUGGAGCUCAACUCCAGAACUGCCUUUGAUACUGGGAAUCUCGAGUCCGGAAGAGGUGAGUGGAACUGCGAGUGUAGAGGUGAAAUUCGUAGAUAUUCGCAAGAACACCAGUGGCGAAGGCGGCUCACUGGUCCGGUACUGACGCUGAGGUGCGAAAGCGUGGGGAGCAAACAGG
rnacentral:rRNA from 1 species